rnacentral:rRNA from 1 species
CUUGACCGAGCGACGCCGCGUGCGGGAUGAAGGCCUUCGGGUUGUAAACCGCGAAAGUAGGGAGGAAAUCGCUGGGGGUUCUCCCCCAGUGUUGACCUAUCUUCAGUAAGGACGGGCUAAGUUCGUGCCAGCAGCCGCGGUAAUACGAACCGUCCAAACGUUAUUCGGAUUUAUUGGGCUUAAAGGGUAUGUAGGCGGCCCUUCAAGUCGGGUGUGAAAGCCCUCGGCUCAACCGAGGAACUGCGCCCGAUACUGUGGGGCUCGAGGGAGACAGAGGUAAGCGGAACUGAUGGUGGAGCGGUGAAAUGCGUUGAUAUCAUCAGGAACACCAGUGGCGAAAGCGGCUUACUGGGUCUCUUCUGACGCUGAGAUACGAAAGCUAGGGGAGCGAACGGGAUUAGAUACCCCGGUAGUCCUAGCUGUAAACGAUGAGCACUUGAUCGAGGGGCCCCCCAUAGCCUCUCGGUCGUAGCGAAAGUGAUAAGUGCUCCGCCUGGGGAGUAUGGUCGCAAGGCUG